rnacentral:rRNA from 1 species
CCUACGGGAGGCAGCAGUGAGGAAUAUUGGUCAAUGGCCGCAAGUCUGAACCAGCCAUGCCGCGUGCAGGAAGAAGGCUCUCUGAGUUGUAAACUGCUUUUGUACGAGGGUAAACGCAGAUACGCGUAUCUGUCUGAAAGUAUCGUACGAAUAAGGAUCGGCUAACUCCGUGCCAGCAGCCGCGGUAAUACGGAGGAUUCAAGCGUUAUCCGGAUUUAUUGGGGUUAAAGGGUGCGUAGGCGGUCGGAUAAGUUAGAGGUGAAAUCCCGAGGCUCAACUUCGGAAUUGCCUCGGAUACUGGUCGGCUAGAGAGUAGGAGCGGUAGGCGGAAUGUAUGGUGUAGCGGUGAAAUGCUUAGAGAUCAGACAGAAAACCGAUUGCGAAGGCAGCGUACCAAGCGACUUCUGACGUUGAGGCACGAAAGCGUGGGGAGCAAACAGGAUUAGAUACCCGUGUAGUC